rnacentral:lncRNA from 1 species
UUUAUUUUUUUAUUGUGUUCAAUUUACUAACAUACGAAUACCCCCAGUGCCCGUCACCCAUUCACUCCACCUCCCGCCCUCCUCCCCUUCACCCACCCUAGUUCGUUUCCCAGAGUUAGCAGUCUUUACGUUCUGUCUCUCCUUUCUUAUAUGUUCCCACAACAUUCUUCCCCCUCCCUUAUAUUCCCUUCACUAUUAUUUAUAUUCCCCAACAUGAAUGAGAACAUAUAUGUUUGUCCUCUCUCCGACUGACUUACUUCCACUCAGCAUAAUACCCUCCAGUUCCAUCCCACUUGAACCAACAUGUGGGUAUUUGUCAUUUCUAAAUAGCUGAGUAAUAUUCCAUUGUAUACAUCAACACAUCUUCUUUAUCCAUUGCAUCUAUUGAUGGACACGAGGCUCCUUCCACAGUUUGGCUAUCGUGGCCAUUGCGUAUAAACAUCGGGGUGCAGGGUGUCCCGGCGUUUCAUUGAUUUGAUCUUUGGGGUAAUCCCCAACAGUGCAAUUGCUGGGUUGUAGGGCAGGUUAUUUUAACUGAUUGAGGAACCUCCACACAGUUUUCCAGAGUGGCUGCACCAAUUCACAUUCCCACCAACAUGUAGGGUCCCUUUUCUUCCACAUCCUCCCAACAUUUGUUGUUUCCUGCCUUGUUAUUUUCCCUCUCACUGGUGUGAGGUGGUAUCUCAUUGUGGUGUUGAUUUGUAUUUCCCUGAUGGCAAGUGAAUGGUCAGAGCAUUUUCUCAUGUGCAUGUUGGCCAUGUCUAUGUCUUCCUCUGUGAGAUUUCUGUUCAGUCUUUUGCCCAUUUCAAUGAUUGGAUUGUUUGUUUCUUUGGUGUUGAGUUUAAAAGUUCUUUAUAGAUCUUGGGAAACUACCCUUAUCUGAUGAUGUCAUUUGCACAAUAUUUCUCCCAUCUGUAGGUUGUCUUUGAGUUUUGUUGACUGGUAUCUUUGCUGUAAAAAGCUCUUAUCUUGAUGAAGUCCCAAUAGUUCAUUUUUGCUUUUGUUUCUUUGCCUUCGUGGUGUAGUCUUGCAGAAGUUACUUAUGGCCGAUUUCAAAAAGGGUGUUGCCCGUGUUCUUCUCGAGAUGUUUGAUGGAAUCUUGUCUCACAUUUAGAUCUUCAUCCAUUUUGAGUUUAUCUUUGUGUAUGUGAAAGAGAUGGUGCUAGUUUCAUUCUUCUGCAUGUGAUUGUCCAAUGUUCCCAGCACCAUUUAUUGAAGAGAAUGUCUUUCUUCCAAUGGAUAGUCUUUCCUCCUUAUCGAAUAUGUAGUUGACCAUAAGGUCAGGGUCCACUUCUGGAUUCUCUAUUCUGUUCCACUUAUCUAGGUGUCUGUUUUGUGCCAGUACACACUGUCUUGAUGACCACCGCUUUGUUAGUACAACCUGAAUCUGGCAUUGUAUUGCUCCCCAGAUAUGGUUUCUUUUUUAAAAUUCCCCUGGCUAUUCGCGGGUCUUUUCUGAUUCACACAAAUCUUAAAUAAUUUGUUCUAACUCUCUGAGAAAGUCCAUGGUAUUUGAUAGGGAUUGCAUUAAACGUGUAUAUUGCCCUGGGUAACUUGACAUUUUACACAAUAUUAAUUCUGCCAUCCAUGAGCAUGGAAUAUUUUUCCAAUCUCGUUUGUGUCUUCCUCCAAUUUCUUUCAGAAGUGUUUCUAGUUUUGAGGGAGUAGAUCCUUUACAUCUUUGGUGUAGGUAUUCCUAGGUAUCUUCUGCUUUGGGUGCAAUUGUAAAUGGGAUUGACUCCUUAAUUUCUCUUUCUUCAGUAUCAUUGUUAGUGUAUAUGACAUGCCACUGACUUCUGGGCAUUGAUUUUGUAUCCUGCCCGCUCCCGAAUUGC